rnacentral:rRNA from 1 species
AAGGAAGCAUACUUCGGUCAUAGAUUAAGCCAUGCAAGUCUCAGUUCAGGUAACAAAACUGCGAAAAGCUCCUUAACACACUCAGUACCUAUUUGACAGCGACACUCUAGUCUUACAUGGAUAGCAGAAGUAAUCCUUGUGCUAAUACAUGCUAGUGUUCCACCAGAAAUGGCCUAUGGUGGAAAAGUCGACCUUUGCAGGUCUGUCAUAUGGAUGAGUGGCCUAUCAGCUAUUACUUAGGGUCUUGACCUAGGUAGGCUAUAACGGGUUACGGGCGGUGAACGUCGGACUGCCGGAGAAGGUGCCUGAGAGACAGCAACUAUGCCUACGGGCAGCAGCAGGCGCGAAACUUACCCACUCGAGAUGCUCGGAGGUGGUAAUGACCAGUUCUAACGUGAAAUUUAUUUCAUAUUAGAUAGGAUAGUAUGCAAAAAUCGCUAUGCAAUCUAGCAGAGGGCCAGUCUGGUGCCAGCAGCUGCGGUAAUUCCAGCUCUGCAAGUUUGCUCCCAUAUUGUUGCAGUUAAAAGGCCCGUAGUCAGACCUCAUCAGAUGAGGAAAUUUACCGUUCACUGCGACUAAAUCAGGAUGCUCAAAGUAUGCCUACACGAAUGACCUAGCGCAGUAUGAUCUUUUUGCUUUUCGAAGCAAGAUCAAAGGGAGCCAUUGGGGAUAGCCUUAUUCCAUGUCGAGCGGUGGAAUGCAUUGACACAUGGGAGAAGAACUACAGCGAAAGCAGCUAUCUAGAGGGUUUCUAUCGAUCAAGGGCGAGAGUAGGAUUAUCCAACCGGAUUAGAGACCCGGGUAGUUCCUACUGUAAACGAUGUCGACUGGGGAUUGACUUUCGAAGUCAGCACUCUUAGAAAAUCAAAGUUCUUGGACUCUGGGGGGAACUACGAUCGCAAGACUGAAACUUGAAGGAAUUGACGGAAGGGCACACAAUGAGGUGGAGCCUGUGGCUUAAUUUGAAUCAACACGGGGAAACUUACCAGGACAAGAUGAAUUGGUGACUGACAGUCUAAAGGGCUUUUAGGAUAGAUCUUUGGGUGGUGCAUGGCCGUUGGUGGUGCGUGGGUUGGCUUGUCUAGCGUUGAUUCAGAUAACGAGCGAGAUUACCGCCAGAUAGUAGUUGCUUCCAGUUCGCUGGGAUGUUGCUUUAUUUGGGACUGCCUGGUCAAGAGCAGGAGGAAGGAGGUAGCAAUAACAGGUCCGUGAUGUCCUUUAGAUGCCCUGGGCUGCACGCGUGCUACAAUGUGAAUACCAAACGGAAAAGGCCACGAUGGAAGUCGAAGCUACUCCGGAAUCAUUCACGUAGUUGGGAUUGAUGGUUGGAAUCACCCUCAUGAACUAGGAAUCUCUUGUAAAUGUGCGUCAACAUCACACGUUGAAUACGUCCCUGCCCUUUGUACACACCGCCCGUCGCUCCUACCGAUUGGAUGACCUGGUGAAAUUGCCGGACUUUGCGAGGAAAGGUCAUUAAAUCAUGUUAUUUAGAGGAAGGAGAAGUCGUAACAAGGUAUCG